AGAGACCAUUUCUUACCACACAUCAGAGAGUCUUCAUGCUUUGGUCUCCUACCUUAGAGAAAGCACUGACUCCAUUCAUCCCAAGGACUGAAAUAAUGGUGCUGAUGAAGAUGAGGCCCCCAGGAAUAACUGCAGCUAUAGUGUAUUCAUCACUUACUACUGAUAUACUGAUUGUCACUGUGAGUUAAGUAUUUAAUACAGCGAUCAGCCUCAUGUGAUAGACAAGAAAAAGGAGACAGAGAGGCUACGUAACUUGCCCCAAGUCACACAGUAAGAGCUGACACCUGAUCCCAGGAAGCCUGGAACCGUGAACACUAAGUAGCCUCUCUACUGAUAUCUGCUAUCAUCUUAAUCCAGAAACCACCCUGUAAGUAGUUAUAAUUAUCUGCAAGUUACAGAUAAGGGGGAAAAUAGAAUUAAGAAAGGUCAGAUCACUUGUCCAACUAGUAAGCUAUA
rnacentral:lncRNA from 1 species